AGGUGUGAGCCACCGUGCCUAGCCCAAAAAUACGUUUUUAUUACAGAAAAAAAGUUGGUUUCUUUGGUACAGAUUUUUUUCCCCCAUAACAACUUGCUAUAAAAAAGUAAGACUCACCUCUCUUCUUCCAGCAACCCCCAGGGAAUAAGAUUAUCCAUCCAGUAGAGAAUAGAACUAGGAAAGAUAAAUCCCUCUUUGACUUCUGAUAUUCUAUUUUUCUGAUGUUUUCUGUACCUCCAUUACUGGUUUGACAUAAUAUUUGGCCUUUGAGUUUUUAACUUUUCCCAGUUGUCAUUCUUGAGAAAGUGAAAAGAUAAUAAGUUUCAACAUAAAUUUGGAGUAAGCUCCAGUUUUCACACAAACACAAAUCACAAGGCACUUACAAUGUUUCACGAGCUACAAGUCUUUUAAAAAUACCACCUAUUAGCCAUUGAACACAGGGCUGUUACAAACUUAUUUAUCAGAGGACAUAGUUGCUAUGCUCUCCAUAUAACAACAGUUUCAAAAACUUGCAGCCAUUAAAACUACAUUUUUUUGGCCGGGCGUGAGCUACCGAGCCCAGCCUCUUUGGGACAUUUCUUCUUUUCUAAACAUACAGCAGUGGUGGUGAAAAUAUAAAAUGAAGAUAUAAAAAGGCAUAGUGAUGCUCAAAACCCAAAUUAGGGUCUGUGUAGACUGGGAAGCAGCACUUGGACAGAGACAGAUGAGUGAGCUGAAGAUCCAGGACUGUGGUUGUGGGUCGGAGUUGGGCUCUGUCGGGAUAAAUCGCUCCGCAGAAGACGGGCUAGAGUCUGCUCACCAUUGAAGGAAAGGCCAGUGCGGUUUUUCUGCCCCUGAAAUGUUAUUCAGAACUCCUGCUGCUGACACUUUACCACUCAGGUUUCUGCGACAGUUGGGUUUCUGUGGACCUGAAGAAGAGGGAGGACACAGACUCACAAGCCGGAACGGCAUGCGACGAGCCCCCCAGAGGCCCAUAACUGAACUGCAGUGUCUCCAGCCGCGCCCUGUGCAAUGAUUUGGUUCUGCAUUGCGCCCCCUAGAGGUGAGUGGAAGCAAUGUCCAAGCUGUGGGCAAGUAGGAUUGAGUACCCGAAGGGAGUGAAAGCAAAAAGCAAAACGCAAAAACAGCCAAGGAGCCUGCAAACCAAAUAUUGAGAAUGCAUGAAGAAAUGCAAUGCCAAGAAAGAAAACUGCAAGAUCAUCAUCAAGUAAAUGUGGGUCAGAUAAAAAUAAUAGGACAAUCUGAAAGAAGACUUUCACAUAAAUAUUUAAGGUACUUCAAGGGAAAAUUAAGAGAAAUAUUCUAAAAAAAAAAAAGUAAAAGGUAGAGAAAAAAAUGUAAGACAAAAUAGGCAUAAAUAAACCAACUAUGGGUAAACAUGAAAAAUAACUGAUUAGAAAUAUGAAAAAUAAAAAUCAUAAAUAUACCUUAAGAAAUUGGAUAAAGUAUAUUGGACAUAAUUGAAGGAGAAAAUUAGUUGAUGAAACCAUUCAUGCAGAAAUAGUGGAUAGAUGGAAGGCUUUCCCCAUGUAUUCAAAAGAAGGUCCAGAAAAGAAAAUGGAGGGAAGAGUAGAGAAAUUAUAUUUAAACAGUGACUAGCUAAGGCUUUCUCAGAAUCAAGUUCAAACACAAGUUUUUAAAUUAGGAGAGGGCUGGGUACAGUGGCUCUCACCUGUAAUCCUAGCACUUUAGGAGGCUGAGGCAGGAGGAUUGCUUGAGCCCAGGAGUUCGAGGCUGCAGUGAGCCAUAAUCACAUUACUGCAACACUACACUCCAGCAUGGGCAACAGAGUGAGAUUUUUGUCGCAAAAAAAAAAAGUAAAAGUUAAAACAUAAAAUAAAUUUACUAGAAGGGUAGUUCAAGUACCAAGAAUAAUGAAAAAUAAACCAAAAUAAGACACAUUAUAGUAAAACUAGGAAAAUUUAAGUUACUGGGAAAAAAGAUUACCACAUAUUAAUAACUGAAGUUAUUAUCAGCAAAGAUAGAUGCAUAGAGUGAAAUAGUAUCUUAAAUAACCUUAAAGGCCAUAAUUAUUAGCCUAGUGUUUUAUACCCAGAGAAUGAGGGCUAUACUAAGAGUUGGCCACAGAUGUCUUCUUAAUUAAAAACAAUACUGGUUGGGCAUGGUGGCUAAUGCCUGUAAUCCCAGUACUUUGGGAGGCCAAGGCAGGCAGAUCACAAGAUCCAGGGGUUCGAGACCAGCCUGACCAACAUGGUGAAACUCUGUCUCUACUAAAAAUACAAAAAUUAGACGGGCGUGGUGGCACAUGCCUGUAAUCCCAGCUACUCAGGAGGCCAAGGCAGGAGAAUCGCUUGAACCUGGGAGGCGGAGGUCGCAGUGAGCCAAGAUGGCACCACUGCACUCCAGCCUGGGUGACAGAGCGAGACUCCAUUUCAAAAAGAAAAAUAAAAAAUAAAAUAAAAACAAUACUAACAACAAAAAACUAUUAAAGGAUAUACUUCAGCAGGAAAAAAUCUGAACCCAAAGAAAAGGCAUUGAGAUACAAAAAUACUGUAAAUAUGGAAACUGAUAAAAUAUUUUGGUGAGAAUAAUAUGGACUAUGUAAAUAAAAUUAUACCUCUAAGCAAGAAGAAAAUGAAAGAGCAGAAAAGCAAUAAUGAAGCAAAUAAAAAGUAUGGUGAUCAGGAAGAUCAGGAAAAGAAAAAGCAAAGAAUGAGAAUAAGAAAAUAGAAACAAUUCCAGCUGUGUAAAUAAUCACUAACGGUAGACAGAUUAAACUCACCUUUUAAAGAGACUGAAAUGAUCAGAAUGGAUAAUAAAGCAAAAUCUAGCUGCAUGUUGCCUACAAGAGGCAUAGGUUAGAAUUUUAAAAAUAAAGGGAUGUAUAGUUAUGCAAAAUGGGAACAGUGAGUGAGAAAAGGGUGCUAAAUACCUCCUUGCACAUUUUUUGCUGUGGCAAGUUUCUGUGAAUAUAUAGUUAUUUCAAAAUAGUUAUCAAAAAGGGGAGUGGAUAAAAAGCUAUAGCAUUCAAGUAUCAACCGAGAUAAAGGGGCAUAGCAAUAUUAAUACCAUACAAAAUCGAAUAUAAGACAAAAAGAAUUUAAUAGGGAUAAAAAGAUCAGUCCAUAAUAAUUGAAAGAACAAUCCACUGAGAAAAUAUAAUAAUUGAGAACCUGAAUAUACCUAUAAUAAAACCCAGAACUGUAUGAAACAAGUUCUUAUGGAAUUACCAGGAGAGAGAAAACCACAUAGUAGUAAGAUUCCAGUAUAUCACUAUCAGAAUCUGAUAAAUUGGACCAAAAUUAGUAAGGAUGAGAUUUACAAAAUACAUUGGCUUUAUCUGAUAGAUACCUAGAAUUCUCUCUCUGGCAAGCAGACAUACAUUUUUAGAGAGUAUUUACAAAAAGUGUACAGGGCAUUUCAAAAAUUAACCACACACUAUAUCACUAAAGAAGUUUCAGCAAAUGUCAGGGAUUGAAUAUGACAUAGACAAUGUGCUCGCCUCAUCAUUCAAUUAAAUGGUAAAUCAACAAAUCUGCUUUUUAUUUUUUAUUAUUUUUAGAAAUAGGGUAUAUCACUUUGUCACCUAGGCUGGAGUGCAGUGGUGCAAUCAUAGCUCACUGCAGCUAUGAUUGAACCUGGGCUUAAGCCAUCCUCCUGCCUCAGCCUCUCUAGUAGCCAGGACUACAGGUACGUGCCACCAUGCCUGACUAAUUUAAAAAAUAUUUUGUAGAAAUGGAGGUCUCGCUAUGUUGCCCAUGCUGGUCUUGAACUCCUGGGCUCGAGCAGUCUUCUGGUCCUGGCCUCCCAAAGUGCUGGGAUUACCUGUGUGAGCUAUCAUGCCCGGCAAAGUCAGUUUUUAAAACUAUUCAUAUGGCUGCAAACCUAAGAACUUACUUCAAAAGAAUUCCCACAAAAGAAUUAACAAAAUUCUUAGAACUGAAUGAUAAUUAAAGUAAGUAUAUCAAAAUAUAUGGGAUUCAAAUAUUCACAUUAAUUUCUAACUUUAAAUGCACUCGUUUAAAAAAGAAACAAGAAAGAAAUGAGUGAAGAAGGUGUCUCAAGAGCUAGAUAAGGCUGGGUGUGGUGGCUCAUGCUGUAAUUCCUGUACUUUGGGAAGCCAAGGUGGGAGGAUGGCUUGUCCGCAGGAGUUUGAAAUCAGCCUGGUCAACAUAAUGGGACCCCCCCACCAUCUCUAGCCCCCCCCCCCCGAAUUGUUUUUAAUUAGCUAGGUAUGCUGGCCUGCACCUGUAGUUCCAACUACUACUGAGGUUGAGGUGGGAGGAUCACUUGAGCUCAGCUGUGAGGUUGAGGCUGCAAUGAGUUGUGAUAGCAUCACCAUACUCCAACCUGGGUGACAGAGCAAGACUCUGUCUCUUAACAAACAGCUAGAUAAAUGUAAGGAAACUAUAAGAACAGAAAUAAAGACAGAAAUACAAAUGAAUGAGAUAAAAUAGGAAGGAAUAGAAAGGGUCAAAAACGAUUAGGAUUAAGUAAAAGAGAACAAAAAUAUAUGAAAUUUAGAAAUCAUGAGUACUUUGAGCAAUUUUAUACCAAUAAACCUGAAAAAUUGUGCAACUGUAAUUAUCUAGGAAGAAAAGUAUUAACAAACUCAAGAAAAAUAGAAAAAAAUUGAUACCCAUUUUAAUUACACUGAUAUUAUCAAAGCCUCCCUUGAUAGGUGUUUCAUGGACUCAAAUAUGUGUCUCAAAUCUAAUGGCAGAUGCUGAAAAUUGCAGGCAGGUUAUUUAAGACAGUCAUUUUACUCAUGAAUAAUUCUGUGUAGUUCUCUUUCCUCUGGAGAGAAGUAGAGGUUUUUCAUUUAACAAUGAUUAAUUUUUUUCUAGUUUAUCCUGGGGAGUCUGGCUUGUUAUAAACAAUACUGGAGGAAUAAUUUUUUGGUAAAUACCGUUUGUCUGCCAAAUUGAUGAUCUCUUUAGAGAGUGU
rnacentral:lncRNA from 1 species